rnacentral:rRNA from 1 species
UGCAAGUCGAGCGGUAGAGAGAAGCUUGCUUCUCUUGAGAGCGGCGGACGGGUGAGUAAAGCCUAGGAAUCUGCCUGGUAGUGGGGGAUAACGUUCGGAAACGGACGCUAAUACCGCAUACGUCCUACGGGAGAAAGCAGGGGACCUUCGGGCCUUGCGCUAUCAGAUGAGCCUAGGUCGGAUUAGCUAGUUGGUGAGGUAAUGGCUCACCAAGGCGACGAUCCGUAACUGGUCUGAGAGGAUGAUCAGUCACACUGGAACUGAGACACGGUCCAGACUCCUACGGGAGGCAGCAGUGGGGAAUAUUGGACAAUGGGCGAAAGCCUGAUCCAGCCAUGCCGCGUGUGUGAAGAAGGUCUUCGGAUUGUAAAGCACUUUAAGUUGGGAGGAAGGGCAGUUACCUAAUACGUGAUUGUUUUGACGUUACCGACAGAAUAAGCACCGGCUAACUCUGUGCCAGCAGCCGCGGUAAUACAGAGGGUGCAAGCGUUAAUCGGAAUUACUGGGCGUAAAGCGCGCGUAGGUGGUUUGUUAAGUUGGAUGUGAAAUCCCCGGGCUCAACCUGGGAACUGCAUUCAAAACUGACUGACUAGAGUGUGGUAGAGGGUGGUGGAAUUUCCUGUGUAGCGGUGAAAUGCGUAGAUAUAGGAAGGAACACCAGUGGCGAAGGCGACCACCUGGACCAACACUGACACUGAGGUGCGAAAGCGUGGGGAGCAAACAGGAUUAGAUACCCUGGUAGUCCACGCCGUAAACGAUGUCAACUAGCCGUUGGGAGCCUUGAGCUCUUAGUGGCGCAGCUAACGCAUUAAGUUGACCGCCUGGGGAGUACGGCCGCAAGGUUAAAACUCAAAUGAAUUG